AUUCAGGACCAUGGCCAGCACCCACACUGCCUUCCGUAAACACUGAGCUAAAUAAACCUAGAGCCUUGGUGAUGAGAUCAGCACUGCCUUUAGCACUCUGGCUGUCAACUGAAAACAGCAGCAGCAGCAGCAGCAGCAGCAGCAGCAGCAGCACCACCACCACCACCAACAACAACGACAACUGUUGCAUAUAUAACUGAAGAUCCACAGAGUCCCUCUUUCCAGUGUUAGUUGCUACAAGGAGUGAGAGAAUGAAGAUCUGACCUCAAGGAAUAUAAGAGUUUUUGUUCAAAGUUCCAAGACUAAGCUAUUAGAAGGGAGGGAGGGCCUGAUGCCAUGUCAUCUCUGACCAAGAGAAUUGGUAGAAUAGAAAUAAUCUAUUUCUCA
rnacentral:lncRNA from 1 species